rnacentral:tRNA from 1 species
UUCGGUGUCGGUCGGUUUCGGUCAACCGACCUCGGGAGUGGGUUCCUUGGGCUUCUGGGUGGGGAUUCCCGGCGCCGGGG